rnacentral:rRNA from 1 species
AUCAACUUUCGAUGGUAGGAUAGAGGCCUACCAUGGUGGUAACGGGUAACGGGGUGUUAGGGCACGACACCGGAGAGGGAGCCUGAGAAACGGCUACCACAUCCAAGGAUGGCAGCAGGCGCGCAAAUUACCCAAUCCCGACACGGGGAGGUAGUGACAAUAAAUAACAAUACGGGGUUCUUUCGGAUCUCGUAAUUGGAAUGAGUACAAUUUAAAUCUCUUAACGAGGAACAAUUGGAGGGCAAGUCUGGUGCCAGCAGCCGCGGUAAUUCCAGCUCCAAUAGCGUAUAUUAAAGUUGUUGCAGUUAAAAAGCUCGUAGUUGAAUUUCGGGAUUAGUAGUCUGGUCGUGCCACUGGUAUGUACUGGUCUUACUGAUUUCUCCUUCCUGAAGAACCGUAAUGCCAUUAAUUUGGUGUUGCGGGGAAUCUGGACUGUUACUUUGAAAAAAUUAGAGUGUUUAAAGCAGGCUAACGCUUGAAUACAUUAGCAUGGAAUAAUGAAAUAGGACGUUCGAUCCUAUUUUGUUGGUUUCUAGGAUUGACGUAAUGAUUAAUAGGGAUAGUUGGGGGCAUUAGUAUUCAAUUGUCAGAGGUGAAAUUCUUGGAUUUAUUGAAGACUAACUACUGCGAAAGCAUUUGCCAAGGAUGUUUUCAUUAAUCAAGAACGAAAGUUAGGGGAUCGAAGACGAUCAGAUACCGUCGUAGUCUUAACCAUAAACUAUGCCGACUAGGGAUCGGAUGAUGUUAAUUUUUUAAUGACUCAUUCGGCGCCUUACGGGAAACCAAAGUGUUUGGGUUC